rnacentral:piRNA from 1 species
UAGCAACUCAUUAACAACUUA